rnacentral:rRNA from 1 species
CCUACGGGUGGCUGCAGUGGGGAAUAUUGGACAAUGGGGGGAACCCUGAUCCAGCGACGCCGCGUGAGUGAAGAAUUAUUUCGGUAUGUAACGCUCUAUCAGCAGGGAAGAAAGGAAUGACGGUACCUGACUAAGAAGCCCCGGCUAACUACGUGCCAGCAGCCGCUGUAAUCCGUAGGGGGCAAGCGUUAUCCGGAUUUACUGGGUGUAAAGGGAGCGUAGACGGUUACGCAAGUCUGGAGUGAAAGGCGGGGGCCCAACCCCCGGACUGCUUUGGAAACUGUAUAACUUGAGUGCAGGAGAGGUAAGUGGAAUUCCUAGUGUAGCGGUGAAAUGCGUAGAUAUUAGGAGGAACACCAGUGGCGAAGGCGGCUUACUGGACUGUAACUGACGUUGAGGCUCGAAAGCGUGGGGAGCAAACAGGAUUAGAUACCCGAGUAGUC